rnacentral:misc_RNA from 1 species
UAGGUCAUGUUGUCCGAAUCGACGAAAAUACUCCAGCGCUGAAAGUAUUGCACUGUUCGGAUGCAAUAAUAACAAUGGUAAAAAGUGUGCUACGAAAUGGAGAUUUUUCCAUUUCCCUAAAGAUAAAACAGUACUAAAACAAUGGAUUCAUUUUUGUCGUCGUAUGAACAAAUUAAUGUUGAAAAUGCAUGCAUUUGUGAAGUGCACUUCGCGGCAGAAGCCUUCGAAAGAAACUUGCAGUUUGAAAUGGGUUUAAGUUCGCGGAGCAACCAGCACGUUUCCCACGUUAACCACUGCUCCUGUAGUGGCUAAUAAAAAGAAGAAGGGUGGAAUCUCGUGCCCAAAAAGAGAUGAUAAAAAAAAUGUUGAAGAAUGCGUCCUCUGUUGAAGUAAUUCAAGAAGACGAGGUUGGAGAGGCACCUCAAACUGCAGGAGAGAAGGUCAUCGAUGAGAAAGACGAGAAAAUACUGCAUUUGGAAAUAGAAAUACAAAGGUUGAAUAGUGUUAUUAGCACUUUGCACAAGUGCAAAAACGAGCAGUUAGCAGAAAUCAAACGCCUUAAGAUUUCCAUUAAGGCCGCGGAAUUCCACAGAAAAAAUUUGGAGCAAACACUUAGCUGCAUUUUCACCAACGGCCAGGGAUGGAAACAAACGGCGAAAUUGGAAAGAACAAGGCAUAGCUAAGUCGAUCACGCUAUAUUCAACGAGCCCGAAAGCGUAAAAUUCUUAAGGAGAAAAACUUUCCUCUACCAGGUGUGCGCACUCUGCAAUUGUGGUCAAAGAAAAUUGAUGUAGCUCCAGGUGUCACAGAGCCGGUGAUGAAACUGUUGAAGACAGCAAUUGAGCUAACAAAAGCGCAAAAAAUUUGUGUACUCAGUUUUGAUGAAAUGAAGAUUUUCACACAACGGAGACAGGAUUGUGGUUAUUGCUGAUGUCACCCUUUUAAUAAAACUACAGAGAAAUCAUUUUUUGGAUAAGGGAGAG